rnacentral:misc_RNA from 1 species
GAUGAAGAACGUAGCGAAAUGCGAUACGAAAUGUGAAUUGCAGAAUUCAGUGAAUCAUCGAGUCUUUGAACGCACAUUGCGCCCCCUGGUAUUCCGGGGGGCAUGCCUGUCCGAGCGUCAUUGCUGCCCUCAAGCACGGCUUGUGUGUUGGGCCUCCGCCCCCCGGCUCCCGGGGGGCGGGCCCGAAAGGCAGCGGCGGCACCGCGUCCGGUCCUCGAGCGUAUGGGGCUUCGUCACCCGCUCCGUAGGCCCGGCCGGCGCCCGCCGGCGACCCCCCUCAAUCUUUCCAGGUUGACCUCGGAUCAGGUAGGGAUACCCGCUGAACUUAAGCAUAUCAAUAAGCGGAGGA